UAGGGAAUAUUGCGCAAUGGACGAAAGUCUGACGCAGCGACGCCGCGUGGGGGAUGAAGGUCUUCGGAUUGUAAACCCCUUUCGGGAGGGAAGAUGGAGUGGGUAACCACUUGGACGGUACCUCCAGAAGCAGCCACGGCUAACUUCGUGCCAGCAGCCGCGGUAAUACGAAGGUGGCAAGCGUUGUUCGGAUUUACUGGGCGUACAGGGAGCGUAGGCGGUUGGGUAAGCCUUUCGUGAAAUCUCCGGGCCUAACCCGGAAAGUGCGGAGGGGACUGCUCGGCUAGAGGAUGGGAGAGGAGCGCGGAAUUCCCGGUGUAGCGGUGAAAUGCGUAGAGAUCGGGAGGAAGGCCGGUGGCGAAGGCGGCAUCCUGGACCAAUACUGACGCUGAGGAGCGAAAGCCAGGGGAGCAAACGGGAUUAGAUACCCUGGUAGUCCCUGAGCGGGCUGGCAAGGCGCAU
rnacentral:rRNA from 1 species